rnacentral:tRNA from 1 species
GCGGGAGUAGUUCAGUGGCAGAACAUCUGCUUCCCAAGCAGGGGGUCGUGGGUUCGAAUCCCAUCUCCCGCUCCA